rnacentral:rRNA from 1 species
UACGGAGGGUGCAAGCGUUAUCCGGAAUCACUGGGCUUAAAGGGUGCGUAGGUGGGCUGGUAAGUCAGUGGUGAAAUCUCCAGGCUUAACUUGGAAACUGCCAUUGAUACUAUCAGUCUUGAAUACCGUGGAGGUCAGCGGAAUAUGUCAUGUAGCGGUGAAAUGCUUAGAUAUGACAUAGAACACCAAUUGCGAAGGCAGCUGGCUAGACGAAUAUUGACACUGAUGCACGAAAGCGUGGGGAUCAAACAGG